GCUGAGUUAAAUAGAACCUGAAACCGUGUGCAUACAAGCAGUCGGAGCGGACAUGUUCCGUGACGGCGUACCUUUUGUAUAAUGGGUCAGCGACUUAUAUUCUGUAGCAAGGUUAACCGAAUAGGGGAGCCGUAGGGAAACCGAGUCUUAAUAGGGCGUCUAGUUGCAGGGUAUAGACCCGAAACCGAGUGAUCUAUCCAUGAGCAGGUUGAAAGUGACGUAACAGUUACCGGAGGACCGAACCCACUGUCUUUGAAAAGCCAGGGGAUGACUUGUGGAUAGGGGUGAAAGGCUAAUCAAACUCGGUGAUAGCUGGUUCUCCCCGAAAGCUAUUUAGGUAGCGCCUCGGACGAACACCAUUGGGGGUAGAGCACUGUUUCGGCUAGGGGGUCAUCCCGACUUACCAAACCGAUGCAAACUCCGAAUACCAAUGAGUACUAUCCGGGAGACAGACUGCGGGUGCUAACGUCCGUAGUCAAGAGGAAAACAAUCCAGACCGCCAGCUAAGGCCCC
rnacentral:rRNA from 14 species